CAGUCCACAGAACAGCUAGCUUAAAAACACCUGAUUCUUAUUUUUCUCAAAUUGUUCCUAUUUUUCAGAAACAAAUUCAAAGUGGAAACAUAUUUUACUUACAAGAUAUAAUCAAUUGUUAACUUUACUCAAGUAUUAUCGACUGAGAAAUUGUAUUUAGUGAAGUGACAAUCAACAAUUUCGUUUCUUACUUAAUACCAGGAAAUUAAUUGUGUCGAUUAUAAUUCGAUUCUAUUUGUGGUGAGGGUGAAGUUGUUUUGAUACGUGAAUUGAUCACCCUAAUAUUCAAUGAAUGUCUAAUCAUAUUCAAAAGCGUAAAGUGUCACAAAUUCUAGACUUGUCACAAGAAAAUCAAGCAAUUUGUUGGAACCCUUUGAACCAAUCCAGCCAAGCUACAAUAAUUGACACCAAUCCCACCACAAUCUUGGAGGUUUACUUUGAAUUAGUAUUGUACAGCUAAAAGGGUCACAUCAAUAUUUAAUAUCGUCAAUACUGCGACAAUCUGUCACUAUUCAGCUCUCCUGUAAUCGAUGUGACCUGUUAUUUUUAACAAAGAAAUACUGGAUUCCACCAGAGUUUCUGUACAACUUGGCCUGAAUUAUCUACCUGACAUUGUAUCAAAUCGUUUAUUUUGCUAUUAUUAAGCUAUCAAGCCCAAUUCCAGUUUCAACUAACCGAACCGAGUGGUUAUUGUCGAGAAGUGGACUGCCGACAUUUUUGAUGAAGCUCAAUUAAUAGUUAAGUACGUAAUACAACGAAAGGAAGCCACCAAAAAGCCCGAGUUCUGCUAAGUCAUGGUCUCUUUAGUCAUUAUUAACAAGGGCAGCAAAACUUAUUGCGACUAGAUAACUACCUACGCCUUUUUGUUUGUUUUUUUACUGUGUGGCAUAUUAAGGUCACGAUUCAUACAUAGUAACCAUUCCAUUGUGAUUUUGACUGUGACCAAUCCAACUCGGAUACUUCAGUCACAAUCCAUCCAGCAGUAGCAACACACACUCCAAAAGAAACGCCUGCAAAACACUUGGGACAAGACAUUUUCACGAGGAUCUACAACAUAAAACAUUCGCAUUCAUGAAAACUCCCCGGUUAUCAUUCCCAUUAGCUUAAAACCACUUGAAAUGAAAUAGUAUAACAAAAACCUGCCUGCAACUCGUUUAGGGUUUUGAAUUUGUUCCAAGUGUAGUGACACUCGAGACAGACAAAUUUCAUAUUGAACACUUUUGCCAAGAAAUUCAAGGUUGAGAACGGAUUCGGAUAACCAUUUCUGUCUGAGAAAAAUCAUCCGGUUCAUGUACCAUCAAGUGACCUGCAACUCAGGAGAAACGAGAAAAAAAGAAUAUUUUAAACUUUGUUGACCACAUUCGCCAGGAAAUUGUAAAAGAUUGAAGAGAUUUUUCCAAUUCAUUCCAUUUUUCCAAGAAGAAUUUGAAAAACACCGUGGUACAAACAAUGGCUUGCUCAACAAUCUCAAAAAUGGUAUCGAGACCCAGCCUGGUCCUUCUCGGACUCGUCCUGCUCGCAAUGGCUGUCAGCAUAUCAGGAAAUCCGAUCCCUGACUCAGAAAGCGUCGGUGAAAACAUUAAGGACUCUGUAAAUUCAGCCAAGAACUUCAUUGACCGAGCACAGAACACGUUCACUGGAAAGGAUGUCAAGAAGGAAGAAAAACUAACUCCCCUUGAAAUAGGUGCCAUUGUCGCGGCGGCUGUGAUACUGCUGUUGGUUCUGCCUUGUUGUAUUGGAUACUGCCUUUGCGAAUGUGUCAAAGAACUGAUUUGCUGUAUUUGCUGUUGUGGUUGUUGCAGAGAUUAGAAAAAGAGUAUUAUAUACAGUUGACGGCACAAAAAGAAGUUGACGAACUAUGAGAAUCUGUUAUCUGAGAUUUAUUUGUUUAAUUAAGUAUAUUUAGUUUUCUAUUUUGAAGGGAUUGUGUAGCUUGUAUUAUGUACAAUGAUUGAUUUAUAUUAUUUAGUGCAUUGACUGAUUCCAUUUUUCUUCGUCCUAACCAUAUAAUUUAAUUUCUUAAUGCAGCUCGGGUGGGAGAAAUUUUCUGAAAUUAUACAAAAUUUGUACAAUGUGCUCUGUUCUAAAAAAAGUAUACAGAGCUUUGUAUUCACUUUCAAAUAUUCGAAUCUCGAAAAUAUUUACAGUGUUCAAAAACCAGAGCUAGGACUAAAUAAUAAUUUACUGUUGUAGGAUUAUCUAUAUACAAAACAAAAUAUGUAUUAAUUUUGUUAAGCAUUCAGGAUAAACGCACUGAUUUACAUACAAGUCCAGUAAAUGUAAGAAUAAUCGACUACAGACAAAUGUUGUGAUUACGAUUCUGAAAAGUAUGAAUGUUUAUGUAUGUAAUAAUUGUUGCACUCCAGGUUGAAUUGAGUGUUAAUAAAUCUUUUUAAAAUACA